rnacentral:rRNA from 1 species
UGCAAGUCGAAGCGGACAGAAGGGAGCUUGCUCCCGGAUGUUAGCGGCGGACGGGUGAGUUACACGUGGGUAACCUGCCUGUAAGACUGGGAUAACUCCGGGAAACCGGAGCUAAUACCGGAUAGUUCCUUGAACCGCAUGGUUCAAGGAUGAAAGACGGUUUCGGCUGUCACUUACAGAUGGACCCGCGGCGCAUUAGCUAGUUGGUGAGGUAACGGCUCACCAAGGCGACGAUGCGUAGCCGACCUGAGAGGGUGAUCGGCCACACUGGGACUGAGACACGGCCCAGACUCCUACGGGAGGCAGCAGUAGGGAAUCUUCCGCAAUGGACGAAAGUCUGACGGAGCAACGCCGCGUGAGUGAUGAAGGUUUUCGGAUCGUAAAGCUCUGUUGUUAGGGAAGAACAAGUGCAAGAGUAACUGCUUGCACCUUGACGGUACCUAACCAGAAAGCCACGGCUAACUACGUGCCAGCAGCCGCGGUAAUACGUAGGUGGCAAGCGUUGUCCGGAAUUAUUGGGCGUAAAGGGCUCGCAGGCGGUUUCUUAAGUCUGAUGUG